UGGUCAAGUUAUUAAGGGUGCAGGGCGGAUGCCUUGGCACUAGGAGCCGAUGAAGGACGUGAUAAGCUGCGAUAAGCUUCGGGGAGUUGCACGUAAACUUUGAUCCGAAGAUUUCCGAAUGAGGAAACUCACUUAGAGUAAUGUCUAAGUAUCAUUAAGUGAAUACAUAGCUUAAUGAGGGGAACUCAGGGAACUGAAACAUCUAAGUACCUGAAGGAAGAGAAAGAAAUUCGAGUCCGUAAGUAGCGGCGAGCGAACGCGGAUUAGCCCAAACCAAUAAAGUUUUCUUUAUUGGGGUUGCGGACAUAUCAUAACG
rnacentral:rRNA from 1 species